ACUGAGCCACCCAGGUGCUCCAAAAGGUUUUUAUUCAUUUAUUUAAGAGAGAGAGAGCACGAGUGAGGGAAAGAACAAAGGGAGAAGGAGACACAGAAUCUCAAGCCGACUCCACACUGAGCCGGAAGCCACACAUUGGGCUUGAUCUCAUCAUCCUCAGAUCUUGACCUGAGCCGAAAUCAAAAGUCAGAUGCUUAAUCAACUGAGCCACUCAGGUGCCCCUAAAAAGAUUUUUGUUGUUGUUAUUGUUGCUUUUAACAUUUAUUAUAGUUACUUUUGAGGAGAAUGUAUUCAUAUUUUGUAUACUUGGAAUGCAAUUAUAUUUUUAAAAAUCCUUGAAGAAUUAAUGCAGGUUCAGAUCAUGAUAGGAACAGAAGGUAGCAAAGUGGAACUCAGAAAACAAUGAAAAGAAAUUUCUGGGUCUCGGUGACACUAGAUUCAAUGAGAAUAUGUGGAGAAUUUAGAGACAGUAUAACUAAAUGUCCAGAUUUGGGUCUGGCCGGGAUUUAGAAGUGAGCAUCAAGAUUUUGGUUAAAAUGAAAGUCGGUUUAGGAAUAAGAAUCAGAUCAGGAACACAGAUAACUUCUAAUACCUUCUGAUUUAAUACCAUUGCAACAGGCCUUUUUCAAAGAGAAACAUGCUCAAAUUUCUAUACUUACACCUUGUUUUGGUCUAAAAAUGACAUUUCUUAGCUUGAUCACUGGCAUUAGUUACCAGAUUCAAUUCCACAUGAACUUUAGCUGUUUUCUAAAAUCAAAUCUCCAUUUUAAAAUAAGAUUUUAUUUAUUUGUUUGAGAGAGCGAGGGAACGAGAGAGAGAGAGAGAGAGAGAGAAAGAGAGAAGGAGCCCAGGGGAUAGGCAGAGGGAGAAGCAGACUCCCUGCUGAGCUGGGAGCCCCACUUUGGGCUUGAUCCUAGGACUCUGGGAUCAUGACCUGAGCCAAACGCAGAUGCUUAACCGAUUGAGCCACCCAGGUGCCCCCCUUUCUUUUUAAUAAGCUCCACACCCAGUGUGCAACUCAAUGCAGUAUUUGAACUCAACUCCCUGAGAUCAAGACCUGAGCUGAGAUCCUGAAUCGGAUGGUUACCUGACUGAGCUACCCAGAUGCCCCUAAAAAUAAAUCUACUUUCGGAAGACAGAGAUUCCCCGCCACCACUGCCAACUGGGAUGCUGAUAAAUAAGGACUUCUACCAUGAGCCAGGCACAAUUUAUUCUCACAGCAUGCUUGCAUAUCUGCAGCUCAGACAAGUUAAGUGACUUGUCCAAGUAACUUGGAGCCAUAGUGUUGACCAAACACCCUCUAUGAGCCUGGUGUUACUUGUGUCAUCACUGGUCCCUGUGGAAACUUUGAAAGGGAACCACUAUCCUGACUUCAAUGGCAAUCACAUCCUAGCUUCCUGAGAUCAUUUUCAGCCUGAGUAUGCUUCCUGUUGGAAGAGGUAAUCAAGAGGACAUGACUGUCAGUUGACCCUGGAGCUGGACUCAAGUAAUCUGAGGCUCCUCAUCCCCUCUCCCUACAUCCUUGGAAUGUAUCUUCUACCCACCAUUCCCAUAGUGGGAGCCAUUUUCAAGGACAUAGUCUUGAAAGAAUAAGGUGGCACUGAGACUGUCUGGGUAUACACGUGACCAAACUCACAUCUGGCAGAAAACAUCCAGAUGACCAAGAAACACAUGAAAAGAUGUUCAUCAUGACUAAUCAUCAUGCAAAUUAAAACCACAAUGAAAUAUCGCCUUACACCUGUCAGAAUGGCUAAAAUCAAAACACAAACAACAAAUGUUGGUAAGGAGGCAGAAAAAGGGAACCCUCUUACACUGUUGGUGGGAAUGCAAACUGGUGAAGCUGCUGUGGAAAACAGUAUGGAGGUUCCUGAAA